CUUCAGCAAGUUCAAAGCAUCAUUACUCAGCAAUACAUGUCCAAGAAACAGUUGCCUUUGUUUUUGCAAAAGGGGAUAUGUAGCAUCACAAGGGUCAUCAAUGUAGGCAAAAACAUACUCGUAGAGUCACGGUCAAUCACUUUGAGUAAAUCUUCGUACAGAAUCUCAAGGGGAUGAAGUUCUCCGUUGAUGCCUAGAAUCAAGACCUUUUAAGCUGCUUGGCUCACAACAAUAUUACCUGUAUUCUUUAAAUUCUCUUCUAAGUGCCUCAAAUCUAUAGCUUGGCAAAGAGCGACGAGGUAGGUUGCAGACAUAAGCUUCAAUAUGUCUACAGCUUCAGCUGUUUUUCUAGCUGAGAUUAGUGCUAAUUGGGUCACAUCGUGGUUGUGUUGUUCUGCACUUUGUGCAUGACUUGUUACAGGGUUUGCUAGACACUGAAGCUCAGAACAAUAUGAAGCUUGGUAUCUCAUUGCUGUUGAUUCCAUAAUCCAAACUCAGACAGCGACCCACCGGAGAGAUUUGAAGGGAGCCCCGUAUUGUAGAAAGCAUAUUAACCAGCUCAGACAUCCUGAUCAAAAAUGAGUUAUCCCAUUGCAGCCAAAUGAGCCAAUGCUAAUCUUCUGUUGUCCAUUGAAACUCCUAUAGGAGCGAGUACCUUGAAAUUUGCUUAGGAUUGCCAAAUAUUUUUUAAUACUUUAUGGAUUUCCAAAUAUUUUAUUAAUACUUUAUGGAUUG
rnacentral:lncRNA from 1 species